rnacentral:misc_RNA from 1 species
UUUCCGUAGAUGAACCUGCGGAAGGAUCAUUCAUAAUAAAGUGUUUUAUGGCACUUUUUAAAAAUCCAUAUCCACCUUGUGUGCAAUGUUAGAUCUCGUCAAUCUUGGCGAGGUUUUUAUACAUCAACUCAUCCUUUAACUAAUUUGUCUGAAAAAUAUUAUGAAUACUUAAUUCAAAAUACAACUUUCAACAACGGAUCUCUUGGCUCUC